rnacentral:rRNA from 1 species
CCCUUAGAUGUUCGGGGCCGCACGCGCGCUACACUGAAGGAAUCAGCACGUCUUUCUCCUUGUCCGAAAGGACUGGGUAACCCGCUGAACCUCCUUCGUGCUAGGGAUUGGGGCUUGUAAUUCUUCCCCAUGAACGAGGAAUUCCCAGUAAGCGCGAGUCAUAAGCUCGCGUUGAUUACGUCCCUGCCCUUUGUACACACCGCCCGUCGCUACUACCGCUUGGAUGGUUUAGUGAGAUCCUCGGAUUGGUCCCGGCGCGGCCUCUGGUCGUGCCGGAGUGCCGAAAAGAAUGUCGAACUUGAUCAUCUAGAGGAAGUAAAAGUCGUAACA